GUCUCAAUAGCUCAGUGGGUAGAGUGCUGGGCCAGCUGGCACAGAACGUCAAAGGCCCUGGGUUUGAUUCCCGGUUGAGACU
rnacentral:tRNA from 1 species